rnacentral:lncRNA from 1 species
CUAAGAACAAGGAAAGGCUAACAUAGUCCGAAAAUAAAAUACUAAGACAAUCUGAGUAAUAAGAAGGAGAAAUGUAGGGCUGCGAACGCCAAGAAGCUACCUAGCCAACUCUGGAGACCUGCUGGAAGACUGAUCAGCACUCACUAUCACGUCCCGAGACUCAUGAAUCUACACACAUGGUGCAGGGAGUAAUGUGAGUACGCCAACUCAGUAAGUAUUAAAAGUAAAAGAAGCUAAGCAGUAAGAAAACAUGUAAUUCCACGUCAUAGAACUACAACAAAAUAGUAUAUGUCCAGAACAAUACAGUAAAUCAAUUAACUCGUAAAACAACUCGGUUCAGUAAAACCCUUUUAAAACAUCUUUCAAUAGUUUCAAACGAGUGAUGAAAACAGUGAGUAAAAGGAUAGAAAGUAAAUGGCCCCUCGGCCAAAACAUGUAUCAAAAACUGCCCAUCGGGCAAAAUAUCAACAAAACCAGCCCCUCGGGCAACAACAUGAAACAACAAGAGCCCCUCGGGCAAUAUCAUAUCACUCACACUGGGACACGCACUCACUGGGGGUGUUCAGACUCUAGAAGGGCUCCUACAGCCCAAGCGCUAUCACAAGCCAUCACGUGGCAUAGCAAAUCAGGCCCUCGGCCUCUCAUAUAUCACAAAUCAGUACAACAUGCUAUGACGCACAGCCCGAUCCCAUAAUAUCCUCACAACACAGGCCCUCGGACUCACUCAGUCAGAAAUCUCUCAAGCCACUCGGGCAAUAGUAAAACAUGAUGCUCAGCCCAAAAUAUCAUUUAAAUUAUCAAAAUGGAGUAAGUACGGCUGAGUUAUAAAAACAGUAGAAUACAACAUGACUGAGUUUAGAUAUUAAGUAAAACCAUUAAGGAAUAGUAGUAAAAAGCCCCUAAGGGUCCAAAACAGUUGGCAUGAGGCCCAGAUAUGGCAUUCAAUCCAAAACAUGGAAAUACUUUCCAAAACACAAUGAUAUCAAAUAGUUUUCAAUCAAAUACACGACUUAACAGUCGUACCGGACAGACCAAGCCAGAAUCCCCAAUGGUGCACGACCCCACACUCAUCAUCUAGCGUGUGCAUCACCUCAAAGUAGCACAACGAUGUGAAAUCUGGGGUUUCAUACCCUUAGGACAAUAUUUACAAUCAUUACUAACCUCGAUCCGGUCCAAACUCUAGCCCGCAAUGCCUUUGUCUCUCUAUUUGUUCUCUAAAUGCUCCAAAUCUAACCAAAAUCAGUAUCAUACCAUAAAUACGCGCUAAAGGAACAAAGCCCAAGCGAAAUAAUCAAAUUAACUCAAAAAUCCUAAAAUUGGUCAAACCCGACCCCAGGCCCACAUCUCGGAAUCCGAUAAAAAUUACAUCAAUAGAAUCCUUAUUCUCCCACGAGUCCAUACAUACUAAGAACAUCAAAAUCGGAACUCAAAUGUCCCCUUAAAUCCCCAAUUUACACUCUCUAAUUUCAACCCCUAAUUCCCCAAUUUUAGGCUUUAAAUCCCACUAAUUUCAUGUCUAAAUAGUUAGAAAUCAUCAUAGAAUUGAGUAUUGAGUUCAAAAACCUUAUCUCCAAGUGUUUCGCUUCGAUUCCAUCUCCAAUACCUCUCAAAAAGCUUCAAAGCCGUUCAAAAAUGGUGAGAAAUGGGCUAAUAAUCGCGAAGAUGAGUUUUUAUACAUUCUACCCAGGUGCUCUCUUCAUCGCGAACGCGACCGUCCUCUCGCGUUCGCGUAGGCCAAUAUCAGACUUCCUCUGCUUAACCAUUUGUGAAUGCGACAACUUCUUUGCGAAUGCGAUGCUCAACCAGCUCACUCCUUCGCGAACGCAGACCUCGCCUCGUGAACACGUAGACCAAAGACCUGGGUUCCCCAACUGCCUCACUCCUCUUCGCAAAUGCGACCCCACUCACGCGUCCGCGAUGCACAUGAUGCCUUAACCUUCGCGUUUGCGUCCUCUCCUUUGUGAACGCGUAGAACAAAAUUCACUACCACAGAAGACACUCUUUGCGAACGCGAGACACCCUUCGCAAACAUGAUUAACAAAAUCUCUGCAACAGAAAACCAGCAAAAUCUGCUAACUCCUCAAGUCCAAAAUGACCUGUUGAGCAUCCGAAACACACCCGAGGUCCUUGGGACCUCAACCAAAUAUGCAACACAUCCCAUAACAUCAUUCAAACUUGUUCCAACCUUCGGAACACAUAAAACAACAUCAAAACAUCAAAUCACCCUCAAAUUUAAGCAUAAGGAUUCUAGAACUUCCGAAUUCCGCAAACGUUCAAAAUGUCUGUCAAACAUCACUUGAAUAACCUGAAAUUUUGCACACACGUCAAAAAUGACACAACAGACCUACUCUAAUUUUCAGACUUCCAUUCUAACCCCGAUAUCAAAAUUUCCACUGUCAACCGAAAAAUGCCAAAUUUUCAAUUUUGCUAAUUCAAGCCUAAAUCUACCACGGACCUCCAAAAUACAUUCCAGUUAUGCUCCUAAGUCUCAAAUCACCUAACGAAGCUAUCCGAACCAUCGAAAUUCACAUCCGAGGCCUUUUUCAUAUAAGUCAAAAUCCGGUUGACUCUUCCAUCUUACGCUUACUCAAAAGAGACUAAGUGUCUCAUUUCUCUAUAAAAACCACUCCAAACCUGAACCAACCACCCCAAUACCACAAAAUACAGCUGAACAAGACAUAAGGAAGAAGCAAUGGGGGAAACGAAGCGGUAACUCAUGAAACAACCGGCCGGGUCGUUACAUCCUCCCCCUCUUAAACAAACAUUCGUCCUCGAAUGAGUCAACAAACAUACCUAAAGCCUCAAAUAGGUGAGGAUAUCUACUCUGCAUCUCCCGCUCAGUCUCCCAGGUAGCCUCCUCCACGGGCCGACCUCUCCACUGCACUUUCACUGAAGUUAUAUUCUUUGACCUCAACUUUCGGACCUGCCACUCCAAAAUAGCAACUGGCUCCACAUCAUAAGUCAAAUCACCAUCUAACUGAAUCGUGCUGAAAUCCAAAACAUGAGACGGAUCGCCAAUAUACUUUCGGAGCAUAGAAACAUGAAAUACCAGAUGCACACUUAACAAGCUGGGUGGCAAAGCAAGCGCAUAAGCCACCUCCCCAAUCCUCCGAAGUACCUUAAAAGGACCAAUGAACCGGGGACUCAACUUACCCCUCUUCCCAAAUCUCAUAACACCCUUCAUGGGUGAAACCUUCAAUAGAACAUUCUCCCCAAGAAUGUAAGACACAUCACAGACCUUCCUGUCAGCAUAACUCUUUUUUCUUGACUGCACUGUACGAAGCCGCUCCUGAAUCACCGUCACCUUGUCUGAAGCAUCCUGCACCAAGUCUGUACCCAAAAUCCUAGCCUCACUCAGAUCAAACCAACCAACCAGAGAUCUACACCGCCUCCCAUACAAAGCCUCAUAUGGAGUCAUCUGAAUACUCGACUGGUAACUGUUGUUGUAAGCAAAUUCUGCGAGCGGUAGAAACUGAUCCCAUGACCCUCCAAAAUCAAUGACACAAGCACACAACAUGUCCUCUAAUAUCUGAAUAGUUCGCUCGGACUGCCCGUCCGUCUGAGGUGAAAAGUUGUGCUCAACUCAACCUGAGUACCUAACUCUUGCUGCACAUCCCUCCAAAAUUGCGAAGUAAACUGAGUACCUCUAUCUGAAAUGAUGGAAACUGGAACACCAUGAAAGUGAACAAUCUAUCGAAUAUAGAUCUCUGCUAACCGCUCUGAAGAAUAGGUAGUACAAACAAGAAUGAAGUGCGCGGACUUGGUCAGCCGAUCCACAAUCACCCAAAUAGCCUCGAACUUCUUCAAAGUCCGUGGGAGUCUAACUACAAAAUCCAUGGUGAUUCUCUCCCACUUCCACUCUAGAAUAUCCAUCUGCUGAAGCAAGCCACCCGGUCUCUGAUGAUCAUAUUUCACCUACUGACAGUUGAGACACCAAGCUACAAAUCCCACAAUGUCCUUCUUCAUUCUCCUCCACCAAUAAUGCUAUCUCAGAUCCUGAUACAUCUUCGCAGUACCCGGAUGAAUGGAAUAUCGCGAGCUACGGGCCUCCUCCAGAAUCAAAUCCCGAAGCCCAUCCACAUUGGGCACACAUAUCUAGCCCUGUAUCCUCAACACCCCAUCAUCACCAAUAGUCACAUCUCCUGCAUCAUCGUGCUGAACUCUGUCCUUAAGGACAAGCAAAUGAGGAUCAUCAUACUGGUGCUCUUGAUGUAAUCAAAUAAGGAAGACCGAGAAACCACACAAGCUAAGACCCGACUAGGCUCCGAAAUAUCCAACCUCUCAAACCGAUUGGCCAAGGCCUGAACAUCAACUGCAAGAGGUCUAUCUCCAAUAGGAAUAUAUGCCAAACUGCCCAUACUCAAUGCCUUCCUACUCAAGGCAUCGACCACUACAUUGGCCUUUCCCGGAUGGUACAAGAUAGUGAUAUCAUAGUCCUUUAGCAACUCCAACCACCUCCGCUGCCUCAAAUUGAGAUCCUUCUACUUAAACAAGUGCUGGAGGCUGCGAUGAUCAGUAAACACCUCACAAAACAUGCCAUACAGGUAUGCCUCCAAAUCUUCAAUGCGUGAACAAUGGAAGCCAACUCUAGAUAUCCACACAUUUUCACCUCGAUCGAACGACAACGGGAUACUAUUUCGAUAAGUUCAAAAUAACACCCUUUAAGGCCAAGGACCUUCUCCAAAAUGAAGAGUUCGACCUCGAUCAAAUGACGACGGGUUACUAUUUCGAUAAGUUUUGAAUAACACCCUUUAAGGCCAAGGGCCUUUCCCAAAGUGAAGAGUUUAACCUUGAGCGAACGAUGACGAGUUACUAUUUGGAUAAAUUCGAAAUAACACCCUUUGAAGCCAAGGGCCUUCGCCAAAAUGUAGAGUUCGACCUCGAUCGAACAACGACGGGUUACUAUUUCGAUAAGUUCGAAAUAACACCCUUUAAGUCCAAGGAUCUUCGCAAAGUGAAUUGUUCGACCUCGAUCGAACGACGACAGGUUACUAUUUCGAUAAGUUCGAAAUAACACCCUUUAAGGAUAAGGGCCUUCGCCAAAAGGAAGAGUUUGACCUUGAUCGAACGACGAUGGGUCACUAUUUCGAUAAGUUCGAAAUAAAACCCUUUAUGCCCAAGGGCCUUUGCCAAAAGGAAGAGUUCGACCUCGAUCAAAUGACAACGGGUCACUAUUUCGAUAAGUUCGAAAUAACAUCCUUUAAGGGCAAGGGCCUUCACCAAAAUGAAGAGUUCGACCUCGAUCGAACAACGAUGGGUUCUAUUUUGAUAAGUUCGAAAUAACACCCUUUAAGGCCAAGGGCCUUCGCCAAAGUGAAGAGUUCGACCUCGAUCGAAUGACGACGGGUUACUAUUUCGAUAAGUUCGAAAUAACACCCUUUAAGGCCAAAGGCCUUCGCUAAAGUGAAGAUUCGACCUUGAUCAAACAACGAUGGGUUACUAUUUCGAUAAGUUCGAAAUAACACCCUUUAGGGCCAAAGACCAUCAAAAAGUGCAAAAAGACCGAGACCCACUGGGCGGGAAUCCAUCUCGCAUCGAAAUCACGCGCAACAUAAACAAGGGUAGAAUACAAGACAAAUAACAGUGAAAAACUCUUCUUUAUACAAAGUCUCCGCGCAAAUGGUAGCGGAUUACAUAAGACCCAAGUUAACAAUAUAUAAAAAAGGAGGGGCAACAAACAACAAAGAAAAAAAACAACGAUAAUCGACUACGAACGAAAAACGGGGAAGAAAACAUCAAAUGGAAAACAGAUCAAUGUCACUAUCCCUCUACUCUACAUAAUCAUCGCCACCCUCUCCAAUACCAUCUCCGGGAAGUUCUCCUUCGACGUUUGUGCCCCCAUUGGCUUCUGGUGUCACCGCAUCAUAUCCACAAUUGACGCGAGCCUCCCGCACUUUCACUCUCGCCUCUUCAUAGGCAUCUUUAGUCACAUUCCCCCCCUCCUACAAACUCUUGUAUAUAUCCUGCUGGGCUUCGGCGUAAACCUAAAGCUCGUGCAUGCAGCGAGGAACGGUGGUGGAGGUAGAUUCAAUCUGAGCCAACAGAUGCUAAUUUUUCGCCUCUAGUGCUGCGACCCGAUCCCCAGAACCGAGGCCUCUUAGUUAAUCUCGCUAAUGUGCUCCGCAUAUCUUGCCUCCAUAAGGGUGGCCAUCGCUCUCUUCGAUUCUUUCUCGGAUUGGAGGACGCGAAUGGUUUUCUCCAGGGCCACCACCCUCGCUGAAGCCGCGGACCAAGUACUCUCGAUGCUCUCCAACCCAACAAUCUUGUUCUCCAGCCCAGUCAAUUUCCCCAUCCAUUCCGCGCUUAGCGCCUCAACCUUGAUCAAGUUCAUAUCCAUCUCCGACUGCUGCUGUGGAUAGCCUGCAUUAAUUCUUGGUCCAUUUUCUGCAACUCCUCACCAAGAGCCCGACUACCAGGGUUUGUAUUCAGCCGCUCAUGCCUUUUGCGAUACUUGUUGCGGUAGCGACGAUAUUUCUCCAACAUCUUCAAGAAAAUCUUGGCCCGAAUGUUGGCCCUACGAAUGCUCUCCAUUUCCACCAUAUACGUCUGAAAAAUAAAAAGAUAGGUUAGAAUCCUAUCAUCAAGGAAAAGCGAAAGUAAGCAUAACAUACCCUUAAGCCCAUAGCGGCCACCUCGUCCAUCAAUUCAGCAUCGAGAAUGGUCCGAAGGGUCACAUUCUCAGAUACGGAGCAUAGCAUGCUGAACUGCGGCACUAGGUCCUCCGUGUCCCCAGGAGAUUGACAUCCGAAGGGAUCUCAAGAAUACGGGCCGAGCCUCCCACACGAACUAACGAGUGAGUAAGACCCUCCUCAAACAUCCUGACAUCAUCAGGGUCGAGGUCCGAUUCGGAUUCAUAGUCGUCGACCACCAUGGCGUUUCCUCUUUCAACAGCCGAAGAGGAAGCAUGACCAACUAUGGAGGACGUGGGUACGUCCGAAACUACAACGGUAGCCCCGAAAAUCUAACCUUCCACCACGAUAGGUUGCUGACCACCAACAACGUUGGGAAUCUCUGGUUGAGCCGAGGCGAUAACCGGUUCCGUCCCUAUGGGGGGAGCCACAAAAACCCCCUCUCCAGACCCUGUCAAAGGAGAGUCAUCUAGAUGAAUCACUGUUGGGGGUGUUGUCUCGAACUCCACUCGCCGUCUUUUUGAUGGCCACUCUUCUUCCCUAGUAGGCAAAGAUUCACCCGUCAGGCGAACAACAUGGGUUGGAACAUCGGCCUGAGAAGCGGCCCUCGCAGAGUAACCACGGACGCAGACUCAACUGAAGCAGCCCUCGACGAAGGUCGGGCAGUGGGUACCGCGAUAGGGCGAGCAGAUAAGGCUGGCUGCCGGAAAGCUAACGGAGGAGCCCUCACUCUCCGUACCCUCCCUGACACCGACAAACAUCAUGUGAGGAAUUAAAUACAAAGAUAAAAAGAGAAAAACAGUGAACAGAAAUGACAUCUUACCAGAAAGAGGCCUGUGCCCAUACUUGUCAUAGAAAGUCGCCCACAUGCGGACCCCUGCUGUAUGAGGGAGAAUAGCACUUACCCACUCGCGGAUAUUUUCGACAGGUGGAGGGGGCAAUUUCUCAGUUGCAAAAACAUAACAGGGUUUAGUACUAUAACGGAAAAUGGUCGGAUAUAUCUUCGACUAAAAGCAUGAGAAGUUCCACUUCUCAGGGAACCCCGUCGGAUCCACCACAAUGUGUUCAGUCUGCACAUAGAAAUAAUUCUCAUAAAAACGAUGGUUAGUUCUAUCAUACAUCUUCACCAUCAGACUCUUCGACCGUCGAGGACACAUGUGAAGCAUCAUGUCGCGGAUAAGCUGAGGAGCGAAGAUACUAAGCAGGUGGUAUAAGGUGAUCUCACGACCGGCGAGUUCCGCAAACUUGAGCAACAUAAGGAACAUCUUGUAUAGGUACGACGAAAGUUGGGCGGAGCAUACCUCAUAAAAGCGGUAGAAGUUUACCACUAGGAGAGGGAGAGGAAGUGUGUAUCCAAUAAGGAAGGGGUAAGCAUAAAAUACACAGUACCUACAACAGUCAAAGUGAACUAUGUCGUUUCCUUCCACCGGCCGCAUGUCGACAUAACCCGGGAUCCUCCACCUGGUUUUCAACUCUACAAUGCCUUCUUCUCUCAUAACAGAAGGAACAGGCUCCGGCUCCGCCCCGGCGCGACUGCUGAAGUCGGUCAAUUCUCUCCCAGUGCAAGGAAAAAUCUCAACUAUCAACAAGACCUCCUCGUCUUCCACUGCAUCUGCCCCUCCAGUGACCUGAGCAGCACUUUCCGGUGCUGGAAUCGUGACGGGGAGAUCGGUGCGAGAGGAAUCACCAGCCAUUUUGUCCAGAAGAUACGGCAAAAAGACAACGGAAAGAAAGGAUGAAAAUCCUCAGUUAACAAAAGGGCAAACGAAAACUUGGAAUGUCAGGAAGAAAGUAUAUUUGCAGAAUUCUUUCGCGUAAAAGGAAAAAAGUGUGUCAAUCGAAUGAUAAGUUCUUUCUAUUUAUAAGAGACAUAGAUCCCUCGAGCACGAAACCUAAGAGUCGCCAAUUGAACCUGAUAGGGCACGAAACGUUUCAGUUCCCCAGGGACGUGUGUCAUGAUGGCGGUAACCACAAAAUAAGGCUUCGAUACCAAACGACGUUUUGGUUCCGAAACAGCCGCAACGGUUCAUGGGUAUCAAGAGAACGCCGCCACCUCGCCUAAAACCCAAGUAAUGUAACUAAGGAACGAGAAGUCAGAUUUUGCUCAAACUCAUAGCAAUCAUGAUCCGUUUGCCGGGCCCGACAGAGGACGACCCCAAUAUCAUACCCUUUUUUACAAACUUCACUUAACUCUUUUAAAAUUAAUAAAAGUGAUUCGUAAAGCUUGAAAAGGAUUUUCUAAUUAGAACAUGACAAAAAUUGUGUUCAAAAGGAAAUAACUCAGAGUCGCCACCUGACAUUGAUUUCGGUGUGUCAGGUCAUCAUUUUUUUUAAAAAUGAUUUUUCCUUUAAGACACUUUGGACUCCAAAACUAAAUUCGCACCAGAGAUUUGGGUAAGGGGGUUUAUUUGACUCGGGGAGAAGGUGUUAGGCACUCCCCAAGUCUGUGAAAGUCACGGUUUCAUACUCGAUCUAGUUGGCUUUUAAAAUAUUUAAGUUGAGGUAAAAUAAAAACAGAAAAGAAAAAUAAACACGUAAGAUGCUCGAGGUCGUCCCCCUCCUAAUAAAAGAAAGAUAAAAAUAAAAUGAAAUAAGAAUAAAAGUACCACGAGUUCGCUUUCCGCCUCCAAUUAUAGAAUACUAAGGGGCAUUCCCCAGAAUAAAAAAUAUACAAAUCCUUCGGGGCAUUCCCAGGAUAAAUUUAACUAAGGGAAUGACCUCUUGCCUCAAAAUUAAACAAACAAAAUCCUAGAGUUUGCCUACCUAAACAUUAACGGCCUAAACAUGCUCCUAGCAAUUAAAAGCAACAAAGCAAGAUAAAGAACUAAGAAAAUCGAUCCAAGCUCAAAUUUUUGUAAUUCCCUUUCCAGCUCGUCCAGUACGCCUUUAUAAAGUCCAUGUUUCUAUUAAACCAACCCCUUGACCAAAUUCAAUUUUUUGUCCCGUUUAUCAAAUUGUGACUUAUUUGCCUUAAUAUUCCUAAUGCACUUCAAGUUUAACCCAAUUAAUUCAAAUUGAUCCAACACAAAAUUAACGAUAAUGCAAAAAACUACAGUGAAUCAAGGAAGCAAAAAAACACAAAACAAGACAUGAAACAUUCCAAAAACCACAAGCAAAAUAAUGAAAAAGAUCAAAGCACAUAUCAGAUGAGAGAAAAUUGAACCUCAUUGAUUGAUUUCUUUGUAUUAAACGUGACCUUGGUCGCAACAAACUCUGACAAACCAAAUUUGGCCGAAAAGCGCAAUAGUAGCAGGAGCUCGGACCGCGAAUUCCUUUGACAGACCUCUUCGACUCAAACUCAGGAUCCUGAGCAGCUAUGUUGGCGCUGAGAAUACUCUAAUCACUAGUUAUAAAAUUAGCUAAAAUUGGCUAUAACCUUUUGACCACUUAAAAUUCAGCAGACUCCCAUAAAUUUUUAAUAGAAGACAAAACCCUCUUGGCUCUUGUUUGAGAACUAGGUGAAGAAGUGAGAAAAGCAAUAGCCACAAAAAUAGUAAGUAAAAAGAGACGUUUGGCUAGCUUCUCUAUCUCUCUCGUCUGGAUGUGCACAAAUCCGGCGUCGCUACCGCAACGAGUAACACCAGAAUAGCGCUAAUGGGAAGCAAAGAUCAAAGGGUUGCCAAAGUAGGCAUGUCCGGCCAGAUCUAGUUUCGUCCUGUGUGUGUGUGUGUGUUUGAGAAUGAGGGGAGAUCACAACUGUUGGGAGUGGGUAGAGACGGGGUUGUCGUUGGCGGCUGUAUAUUCUGGAGAAGAUGACUGUGUGUGGCGGGUUAGAGGCUGGUGGCGGAGAGGUCUAACGAUGGUUCUCUUUUUAAAAUGGGGUGGUGGAAUUGGUCGGCGGUGUGGAGCUGGGUAGUGUCCAGGCUGCUGAUGGCUUGGAGAUGUGAAGAAGGUGGGAGAUUAGGGAGGGACAGCUGGUUUCUCGUUAGGGCUUUCUAGGGUUU